GCUACAAAAGUGACUUUCCCGCCUGCCCAGUUUUUCUUCUCCGCAGCCCCAAGAGUUGAAAACUCUGAGGCGAGGUCCCGCCUUCAGUCAUUUUACUUUCACUUUCGCAUGGACUCAUUCCACUGUCACAGAAAUAUCACAUUUGCCGGGAGGACACACACAGACACAGAGAAACCAACAGCCAAUCAUACAUCACAGGCCGGCUUCUGGGUCCCAGGGUGUAUACAGUGGAGUUCUCCUCACUGCUCGGUGCAGUUGUCCGUCGGAGUUCCCUGACUUCUCAUCUUCACGCUGUUUGUAAUGUCUGAUGCCACCCAAAGGCAGCAUGAAAAAGAAGCUUCCUGAUCCUCUUCCUGUGGGCUUGAUCGUUACAGAUUUUGGGAAGAAACACUGGAAACUUGGGAAAAUUAUUGGUAAUGGUGGAUUUGGGCAGAUACAUUUGGCUUCUCCUGCAACAGAGAAGGAUGUUGGAGAUGAUGCCGUGUAUGUCAUUAAAAUAG